AACGAACGCUGGCGGCAGGCUUAACACAUGCAAGUCGAACGCAUCCUUCGGGGUGAGUGGCAGACGGGUGAGUAACACGUGGGAACGUACCUUUCGGUUCGGGAUAACCCAGGGAAACUUGGGCUAAUACCGGAUACGUCCUGAGGGAGAAAGAUUUAUUGCCGAGAGAUCGGCCCGCGUCUGAUUAGCUAGUUGGUAGGGUAAUGGCCUACCAAGGCGACGAUCAGUAGCUGGUCUGAGAGGAUGAUCAGCCACACUGGGACUGAGACACGGCCCAGACUCCUACGGGAGGCAGCAGUGGGGAAUAUUGGACAAUGGGCGCAAGCCUGAUCCAGCCAUGCCGCGUGAGUGAUGAAGGCCCUAGGGUUGUAAAGCUCGG
rnacentral:rRNA from 1 species